CGCACAUUUAGACAAAGCCUAACCAACCGUUUGGAUAAAGUUUUAAUUAAUCUAGCUUCCUAGCUUGAAUCAUUUCAUAAUAAGAAGUUAAGGUCAACUCACUUCCCCCAAAUCCGCGUAGCUACUCUUAUCAUUAGCAUGUGUAGCAGCGCGUUCGUUGUUGCUAGCUACCGAGAAACUGAACAAUAAUACAGAAUACAACCCUCAAUACCUUUUGGAAAUGACACGCGUCUCGAUGUGAGAGGUUAUCGAACACCCGAGUUAACACGGCUCUUUUCUUUCUUCUGGAAGGACGGCGGUAGUAUUUCUUACACCGUCUACUGCUAACGCUACCGAAAUGAUUUGCGGGCUAGCAACUGUAGCAGGUCGAUUUCCAAAUGGCGCUUAGUCACGCGAUAACUUGCGCUCACUCACGCGAGAACUGUUCACGGGUGUUGUUUGGUUUCCCACCAGACGAGUCAGGAUACCACAGUAUUUAACUUCGAUCAGACGUCAUUUGCCAUCUAGCGAGUACUUUGAAGAAUUACACACUACUUUAAAACCUGUAGCCGUUGUAUUAUCUUUCUCCACGUAGGGAAACAAUUAGGCUAGCUCCUGACAUUUUACGACAAAAAGUAAACGCAUUACACGUUUAAUCACCUUUAUUUGAUAACAUCAUAGACUCUUGAGGAGUUCAAUGAAAGAUUUGUCCCCGAUGGUUUGCAAUAGCAUUAUUCCUAUAUCGUAGCACCAUGGUGUGAAGGGUAUAGUUAUUGCAUUGGGUUAUGUGUUGGUAACACAUUUGAAAUAAAAAACGCAUUAGGCAUAUUGUAGUGCUUACAAUCUGUUGUGAUGUUAAAAAGUGUUUAUUUAAAAAUAAAAAUAUAUUUACAAUUCAUUAAAUAGAAAGAUAACACAUUACGCUGCCGAAUCCUCUGUAGUAGGCCUACAUUUAUUACUGAAUGUAAUAGGUGCCUCAUAGUUAUGCGGGACCUCAAAAAACAAGUCAUCAUCAAAACAAAGUUCAUCUGGUGGUGAUCCAAAAUAGGGCAGCUUCAGUACAAAUCCUGUAAUAACGCCUCCUAUCGCCGACACUACAAUAGUGGAUAACAGUGCCGCCACCUGGUAAAUGGCCUGUUCCAAGGCAGUCCUUCCCAAACCUGGCUGUAGACCCGGGAUCUGCUCCUGGAGCUCCAGCAAUUUUGGAUCCCCUUCCACGGGUGCCAUGUGGGCAAAAGUCUCAUACAUACUGGGUCCGUAGACCUCCUCUGAAGCCACCAGUAUAGCACAUAUGCCCGCGGUGGAGGAUAUGAGUCCGGUCAGGCCAUGGAGGUUGUGUAUCCCACACUGGUCCUGGAUCCUGAGGCGGCGAGCUAAGAAAGGGGUCAGGUACCUGUAGCCCAGCAUGCAGGCGGCGCAGCCCAUCAUUCCCAGAGCAUAAGCCCCUGCAGGGGAUAUCAUCAUGUCCACAGAGGCCCCCACCGCCACCCCUCCGGCCAGAGUCACAUUCUGGAUGUCAGCCAUGGUGAGCUUGCCGGUCCUGUUGAGCAUGGAGGAGAGUGCGAACGCUGUGAGCGUGGAGGCGCUGAGGCCUAUGAAGGUGUGAAGCACGGCCCUGUGCUGGUCGUCUCCUUUCAGCGCCAACACAGAGUUGAAAGAGGGCCAAAACACCCACAGGAACAAGGUGCCCAUGGCAGACAGGAUGUCUGACUGGUAGCUGGAGCCCUCCUUGGCAUGGCCUUCGUUCAGACGGGGCCGGUACAACACAAACGUGACGCCCAGGCCGAAGUAGCAGGCGAACACGUGGAUCAGAAUACAUCCAGCGGCGUCGUUGAUCUUCAGGUGGAUCUUGCCGUCAUGGCUGAACUGGAAGUACCCCUGCACAAGGAUGGCCCACUGUAUGGCAAAGGUGGCGGUGAGGAAGUUGAACACCAUGCCCCCAAAGCCAUACUGCCGGAAGAAAGCCAGGAGACACCCAAAGCCGAUGAAUAUCAUCACCUGUAUGUCGGCGAAAAAAGGAUAGUCUUUGUAUAAGGCGUUGUCCAUGGCGACGGUUUCAUUGCCCUGCAGUUUGGCAUCGGUCUGAUCAUCAUAGGUGACAAAUAAAGCAAACAGCACCACUAUGAAGAGCUGUGUGACCACCACAAACACAGGCAACCCCACGCGCAGGCUCAUCUGAGGCUGCCUCAUCUUUGGGGCUCUUUAAAGCAAAUUCAAUUCGUUUUUUAGCCUUUAUAGUUUCUCUGUACCACUAUCUCAGAGGCAUGCUCCUACAUUAAUGAGUGAUAGUGGAAAGCUACCUCUGCAUGCCCUUUGAUCAUCCUGCACAAUUUUAUAGUUUUCGGCCGCAACCCCUAUUGCGAUGUUAGUGACAUAAGGUAUGUGCCAAUAAAGUCAUAAGGUCAAAGGUUGAAGGAGCUCAGAACUAAAAUCUCUGUCAUCUCGAAAAUAAAAUGGUUUUAGGUUUAUUUGUUCACAUGUAGUAUAUUUGUUGCCACAAAGUAAUUAAUAGGCUUUGCAUUGAUAUGGAUUAAGUUUGCGGCUAUGGCUGGUAUCAACCGAUUAGUCCAGAAACUGGACUAUUGAUUCCCUUUGCAAACAUGUUUUCAAAUGACUCAAUGUUUUUACUAACAGAAUUGCUGAACUUUGGCACAGGCUUCAGAUAGAACAAAAAUGAUACUUACAUAAUUUUUGUAAUUUUGAAAUACAUUCAUGAGCUCCUUCCUUUACUUUCAUAUAAUUUUAUAACAGAUAAUAUGCAUCAAAUACAGUAAAAAUUACUGAUAUACUGUAUAAUGUAAACUGUUGAUACUUAAACAAGCAUGUUUGAGGCAAACAUUCAAAGACACACAUGCACACACAGAAACAGACGCAUAUGCACACACAGAC
ensembl:lncRNA